rnacentral:rRNA from 1 species
UACGGAGAGUGCAAGCGUUAUCCGGAUUCACUGGGUUUAAAGGGUGCGUAGGUGGGUUGGUAAGUCAGUGGUGAAAUCUCCAGGCUUAACUUGGAAACUGCCAUUGAUACUAUCAAUCUUGAAUACCGUGGAGGUCAGCGGAAUAUGUCAUGUAGCGGUGAAAUGCUUAGAUAUGACAUAGAACACCAAUUGCGAAGGCAGCUGGCUACACGAAUAUUGACACUGAUGCACGAAAGCGUGGGGAUCAAACAGG